CACCUCUCCAAUUAUAAGACACCGUUUGAAUACCUAAAAAUUGCAAGUUUGAAGGGUCACUAUUGUGGUAUUGUUUAAAAUGAAGAGACCUGGUGUUGUGCAUAUCCCCUACGCAUAUUAUAAAUAUGCUCCCGUAUAUAUACCUAAGCCCACAUGGGCAUAUAGAUAAUAUUACUUGUGUGGCAGGUUAUACAUUCUUUAAUCCUAUAGGUUUUAG